rnacentral:rRNA from 1 species
CACAUGUGACGAGUUGAUCAUGGCUCAGAACGAACGCUGGCGGCAGGCUUAACACAUGCAAGUCGAACGGUUGUAGCAAUACAGCAGUGGCAGACGGGUGAGUAACACGUGGGAACCUUCCUAGGGGUACGGAACAACUCAGGGAAACUUGAGCUAAUACCGUAUACGUCCGUAAGGAGAAAGAUUUAUCGCCCUUAGACGGGCCCGCGUCGGAUUAGCUAGUUGGUGGGGUAACGGCCUACCAAGGCGACGAUCCGUAGCUGAUCUUAGAGGAUGAUCAGCCACACUGGGACUGAGACACGGCCCAGACUCCUACGGGAGGCAGCAGUGGGGAAUCUUGGACAAUGGGCGCAAGCCUGAUCCAGCCAUGCCGCGUGAGUGAAGAAGGUCUUCGGAUUGUAAAGCUCUUUUACCAGGGACGAUAAUGACGGUACCUGGAGAAUAAGCCCCGGCAAACUUCGUG